UGAGGAAUAUUGGUCAAUGGGCGGGAGCCUGAGCCAGCCAAGCCGCGUGAGGGAGGAAGGCCCUAUGGGUCGUAAACCUCUUUUGUCAGGGAACAAAAGCGAGUAUGUAUACUAGUCUGAGUGUACCUGAAGAAAAAGCAUCGGCUAACUCCGUGCCAGCAGCCGCGGUAAUACGGAGGAUGCGAGCGUUAUCCGGAUUUAUUGGGUUUAAAGGGUGCGUAGGCGGCGGUGCAAGUCAGCGGUAAAAGCCCGGGGCUCAACCCCGGCGAACCGUUGAAACUGCAGUGCUAGAGAAGGCGAGAGGUACGCGGAAUGCGCAGUGUAGCGGUGAAAUGCUUAGAUAUUGCGCAGAACUCCGAUUGCGAAGGCAGCGUACUGGCGCCUGACUGACGCUGAGGCACGAAAGCGUGGGGAUCGAACAGGAUUAGAUACC
rnacentral:rRNA from 1 species